rnacentral:rRNA from 1 species
CCCAGACUCCUACGGGAGGCAGCAGUGGGGAAUAUUGCACAAUGGGGGGAACCCUGAUGCAGCGACGCCGCGUGGGUGAAGGAGUACUUCGGUACGUAAAGCCCUAUCAGCAGGAAAGAAAAUGACGGUACCUGACUAAGAAGCCCCGGCUAACUACGUGCCAGCAGCCGCGGUAAUACGUAGGGGGCAAGCGUUAUCCGGAUUUACUGGGUGUAAAGGGAGCGUAGACGGCAGUGCAAGUCCGGAGUGAAAGCCCGGGGCUCAACCCUGGGACUGCUCUGGAAACUGUAAAGCUGGAGUGCGGGAGGGGCAGGCGGAAUUCCUGGUGUAGCGGUGAAAUGCGUAGAUAUCAGGAGGAACACCGGCGGCGAAGGCGGCCUGCUGGACCGUAACUGACGUUGAGGCUCGACAGCGUGGGGAGCAAGCAGGAUUAGAUACCCGCGUA